rnacentral:rRNA from 1 species
UCAGUGAAAUUGAACUCGCUGUGAAGAUGCAGUGUACCCGCGGCAAGACGGAAAGACCCCGUGAACCUUUACUAUAGCUUGACACUGAACAUUGAGCCUUGAUGUGUAGGAUAGGUGGGAGGCUUUGAAGUGUGGACGCCAGUCUGCAUGGAGCCGGCCUUGAAAUACCACCCUUUAAUGUUUGAUGUUCUAACGUGGACCCGUGAUCCGGGUUGCGGACAGUGUCUGGUGGGUAGUUUGACUGGGGCGGUCUCCUCCUAAAGAGUAACGGAGGAGCACGAAGGUUGGCUAAUCCUGGUCGGACAUCAGGAGGUUAGUGCAAUGGCAUAAGCCAGCUUGACUGCGAGCGUGACGGCGCGAGCAGGUGCGAAAGCAGGUCAUAGUGAUCCGGUGGUUCUGAAUGGAAGGGCCAUCGCUCAACGGAUAAAAGGUACUCCGGGGAUAACAGGCUGAUACCGCCCAAGAGUUCAUAUCGACGGCGGUGUUUGGCACCUCGAUGUCGGCUCAUCACAUCCUGGGGCUGAAGUAGGUCCCAAGGGUAUGGCUGUUCGCCAUUUAAAGUGGUACGCGAGCUGGGUUUAGAACGUCGUGAGACAGUUCGGUCCCUAUCUGCCGUGGGCGCUGGAGAACUGAGGGGGGCUGCUCCUAGUACGAGAGGACCGGAGUGGACGCAUCACUGGUGUUCGGGUUGUCAUGCCAAUGGCACUGCCCGGUAGCUAAAUGCGGAAGAGAUAAGUGCUGAAAGCAUCUAAGCACGAAACUUGCCCCGA